rnacentral:lncRNA from 1 species
AGAGCAUAUCCCAGUCCAGCUGGCUCUUUGGAACCAUUAAAGAGUGAUAGGUGCUGACUAUGUGUGCAGAGAGUGAUCCUAGCAGCACAGGACACAAAUCCUCACCCUGGGGAAAGCAGCCUUCAACCUCUCACCCUUAAGGGGAAGGGCAACCAUGGAACAGCAUCUGUCAGCCCUCCCUCACAACCCCCCAGGCUGGCCUAGCCACACCCUGCCACUUCUAUCCAGGCAGCAGGGCUUCCUUUCCAGAGCAGGGGGGGUGGGGUCAGGGAGGAGCCUGGGGAUUAGGGAGGGACACUGAGUUCUUCAAGCAAGAACUGUUCCCCAUCUAAGGCCAUCCCCUCCUCCAGCCCCAGCUAUGCAGGGAGCCUGGCUGCUGCUGCUGCUGGGCCUCAGGCUUCAGCUGUCCUUUGGUGUCAUUCCAGUGGAGGAGAAGAACUCGGCCUUCUGGAAUCAAAAGGCGAAGAAGGCCCUGGAUGUUGCCAAAAAGCUGCAGCCCAUUCAGACAUCAGCCAGGAACCUCAUCAUCUUCCUGGGAGACAGGUUGGGGGUGCCCACGGUGACAGCCACCAGGAUCCUAAAGGGACAGUUGGAAGACCAUCUAGGACUGGAGACACCCCUAGCCAUGGACCUCUUCCCAUACAUGGCUCUGUCCAAGACAUACAACGUGGAGAGACAGGUCCCAGACAGCGCAGGCACAGCAACCGCCUAUCUCUGUGGGGUCAAGACCAACUACAAGACCAUCGGCCUGAGCACAGCUGCUCGAUUCAACCAGUGCAAUGAGGUCUUCUCAGUGAUGCACUGUGCAAAGAGAGAAGGCAAGUCUGUGGGAGUGGUGACCGCCACGUCGGUGCAGCACGCCUCUCCAGCCGGUACCUACUCGCACACAGUGAACUGUGAUUGGUACUCAGAUGCAGAGAUACCUGCCUCGGCGCUGCAGGGCAGCUCCAAAGACAUCUCUACUCAGCUCAUCUCCAACAUGGACAUUGAUGUGAUCCUUGGCGGGGGCUGCAUAUUCAUGUUUUCUAAGGGGACACCAGACCCUGAGUACUCAGGCAACAGCACUCAGUUCAGAAGCAGGAUGGAUGGACAGAAUCUGGUACAGAAGUGGCUGGCAAAACACCAGGCUGGCUUUGUCCCUGUAGGGGCCCAAUAUGUUUGGAACCAUAAGGAGCUCAUUCAGGCAUCACAGGACGCAGCAGUGACUCACCUCAUGGGCCUCUUUGAACCUAACGACAUGAAAUAUGACAUUCACCAAGACCCUGCUCAAGACCCUUCCCUGGCCGAGAUGAUGGAGGGGGCCUCAUCGACCACAGCCACCAUGAUUCCAUAGCCUAUCGUGCCCUGACUGAGGCUGUCAUGUUCGACUCGGCCGUUGACAAGGCAGACAAGCUCACCAGUGAGCAGGAUACCAUGAUCCUUGUCACCGCCGACCACUCACAUCUUUUCUUUUGGUGGCUAUGUGCCUCAAGGGAACUCUAUCUUUGGACUGGUGGCCCCUUCAAUGCUCUGGAUGGCAGAUCUUUUACCUCAAUCCUAUAUGGCAAUGGUCCCGGCUAUAAACUUCAGAAAGGUGACCCCAAGUACCGGCAGCAGACGGCUGUACCCCUGUCAUCAGUAACCCACAGCGGGGAGGACGUGGCAAUAUUCGCUCGUGGCCCACAGGCGCACCUGGUACACGGAGUUCAGGAGUAGAACUACAUCGCGCACGUCAUGGCCUUCGCAGCCUGCUUGGAGCCCUACACUGACUGCGGCCUGGUGCCCCCUGCUGGCUGGAGCAGUGCGGUGAGCCGGGGCCACACCUCCACCCUGCUAUUCCUGCGGGCUGGGACAAUGUUGAUAUUGAUGGUGGCAGCUGAACCCUGACUACCUAAGCUCACUGGACUUCACUCCACUGUCCCAUAGGCUCUAGUGCUCAUGGCUGGUGGUUUGAAUAUAGUUGGCCCAGGGAGUGGCACU